GCGGUGAUAGCUUAGUUGGGAGAGCGUUAGAUUGAAGAUCUGAAGGUUGCAUGUUCAACCUAUGCUCACCGCA